rnacentral:rRNA from 1 species
UACGUAGGGGGCAAGCGUUGUCCGGAAUCAUUGGGCGUAAAGCGCGCGUAGGCGGCCCGAUAAGUCCGCUGUAAAAGUCAACGGCUCAACUGUUGAACGCCGGUGGAUACUGUCGGGCUAGAGUCCGGAAGAGGCAAGUGGAAUUCCUGGUGUAGCGGUGAAAUGCGUAGAUAUCUGGAAGAACAUCGGUGGCGAAAGCGCUCUACUGGACCGCAACUGACACUCAGGGACGAAAGCUAGGGGAGCGAAUGGG